CCUCCCUGUCCCCUCCCGGGCCCUUCUCUGCGUGUUCACAGCGGACCUUGAUUUAAUGUCCAUACAAUUAAGGCACGCGGUGAAUGCCAAGAGAGCGGCUCUCAAGACAUCCCAGCUGC
rnacentral:precursor_RNA from 11 species